rnacentral:lncRNA from 1 species
CCUUUUUUAUAGAGUAGAUUAUCAUAACUAUCAGAUAUGGUCUCGUAUUUAGCGACAUAGAAUCAUAGGGUGGUCAUCUCGUAGUGGGUUAUUAAUCCCCAUAGAUUACGUCGUGGUAUCAGUGGAGUAACUGUCUGUGACGAUUAUGAUAUAUUUGAAUGAGCCAGUCAAUCGUGCGUCAGAAGUCGGUUGUCGGUUAGUAACUCUG